AUUGAACGCUGGCGGCAUGCCUUACACAUGCAAGUCGAACGGCAGCACGGGUGCUUGCACCUGGUGGCGAGUGGCGAACGGGUGAGUAAUACAUCGGAACAUGUCCUGUAGUGGGGGAUAGCCCGGCGAAAGCCGGAUUAAUACCGCAUACGAUCUACGGAUGAAAGCGGGGGCCCUUCGGGCCUCGCGCUAUAGGGUUGGCCGAUAGCUGAUUAGCUAGUUGGUGGGGUAAAGGCCUACCAAGGCGACGAUCAGUAGCUGGUCUGAGAGGACGACCAGCCACACUGGGACUGAGACACGGCCCAGACUCCUACGGGAGGCAGCAGUGGGGAAUUUUGGACAAUGGGCGAAAGCCUGAUCCAGCAAUGCCGCGUGUGUGAAGAAGGCCUUCGGGUUGUAAAGCACUUUUGUCCGGAAAGAAAUCCUUGGCUCUAAUACAGUCGGGGGAUGACGGUACCGGAAGAAUAAGCACCGGCUAACUACGU
rnacentral:rRNA from 1 species